AGCAGACAGCGCCAGCUGCUUCAAAGGAGGGGACAAGAAGUUUCACAGCUAGUGGCAAUUUGAAAAUUAGCCUUUUGAGAAAUUUCCUCCUGACUUCCACGAGUGGAAAAUUCGUCUAUGCCCGGAGGCAGAAAGGAAAGAAAAUGACAAACUGAAGAGGAUCCAGUGGAUGGCCACCAGGAUGAUGGGAGUGCAUUGCUGUGGAGGAAGGCAGGCUUUGAAUUCAGACUGACUGAAUAGUUCAGUGUGAGAACAUUCAUCUGCCUCUGAAAGAGCCAUAAAGUGUGAUGAUGACAGUGAUGGAAACUGAGCUGCAUAACUUGUGUGGAGAAAAAAAAAUAAGAGACUGAUCUCAAACUCAGAAAAUCCUAUCGCUGGGAAAAAAAUAUUUUGUGGAGGGCUACCUGGUUGGAAGAGACCCUUCAGAUCAUCAAGCCCAACCAUCCACCAAACUACCAUGUCUACCACUAAACCAUGUCCCAUAUGGUACUUUUCCUAAAUACCUCCAGGGUUGGCAACUCCACCACUCUGCACAGUCUGUUCCAAUACCUUUGUUGAAUUCCAUACAUUUGGACAUAGUCCAUCAAUCUAUUCUAUCCAGAUCCUCUACAAAGCUUUUCUGCCCCCAAGCAAAUCGGUACACUCAUCCAACUUCGUCUCAUGUGAAAACAUACUGUGGAUACACUCAAUCCCUUCAUCAAUAUUUUUGAUAAAAAUAUUAAACCAAACUUACCCCAAAACUGAGACCUGGGUAAUGCCACUUAUUACUGGCUGCCAGCUGGAUUUAUCUCCAUUGAAAAUGACCCUUGGGGCCUGGUCAUACAGCCACGUUCUUACCCAGUGCGCACUACAUUCAUCCAAGAUAUAAGUAGAAAGGGAAGGCUGCUGGAAACAACAUUCACAUUUCCUUUUGUCCACUAAGUGGGUCAUGUCAUAGAAGAUCAGUCUAGUCAGGCAAAACUUGCCUUUCAUAAACCUGUGCUGGCUGGUUUUGGUCACCUGAUUGUCCUGUAUGUGCUGUGAGGUGGCACUCAAGAUGAUCUACUCCAUGAUCUUCCCUGACAUCAAGGUCAGACUGACAGAUCUGUAAUUUCCUGUAUCCUUUCUCCUGCAUUUCUUGUAGAUGGGAGUCACAUUUGCUAAUCUCCUGUCAACAGUUAAACGGAACUGCUGGUAAAUUGUUGAAAGUGGUUUGGCAAGCACUUCUACCCGCUUCUUCAGCAGCCUGUCUGGCUCCAUAGAUUUAUGUGUAUUCAAAUUGUGUUUAGUAACCUACUGUAUCUAUUGCCACUGCUGAAACACGCCAUCCACUGCUUCACUUUGCUCACAUCCACUAUUUGAUCUGCAGAAAAGUUCAGCGAGAGUCAAGGAGUGCCAUUUUUUCUGCAUGGAGGAAUUCAAUUACAGUCCGUUACUUAAUAUAGACUUCCAAGUCAGAUGCCAUGUUGUUGGACUGCCCCUCUGCUGCCAUCUGUUGCACAGAAACAAAAUGUAAUGAAAUACUGGUGGUCAGGUUCAACGUCUACUGUCAUAUUACCAAUAUCUGCUCCUAACCGUGUGGAUCAGGCAUAAUAAGAUAGGAGGCAUUACUUUCAGAGCAGCCCUCAUAUAUAGUACACAUUCUGUGAUUCUAUGAUGCAAAUAUUUACCAGAUAGACUGAUGAUUCUUCUAUUUAAAGCAAAUUUUGGCACUAAGUUGGUACCAAAUAUGUUAUAUAGUAUGAAUAAAUUCUCUCAAUAUUU
ensembl:lncRNA